AAUGAAAGUAACAUCUGUUUCAGGUCUAUUAGGUACAGGUUUCUUACAUGUGUUCUCUCAUUUUAUCCUCAAAAUAACUGAGUUAGGAAUCACAUUGCCAUUUUUCAGAUGAUGAAAUGGAGACUCCUGGAGACAAAGCAGAAAGGAUGCUUGGGGCGGAUUGCCUAGGAUUAUAUUCCAUCUCCAGCACUUACCAGCUGUGUGAUCUUGGGCAAGUGGUUUACCUUCUCUGUGCUUCAAGUUGCUGGUCAGUAAUGGGGCUAACAAAAGUGGCUACUUCAAAAUGUUAUUAUGAGGAUUAAAUUAAAUGAUUUUUGGGUACCUAGAACAGUGUCUGGUACACAGAAAGCACUUGUUAAAUGUUAGCUGCUGCUGCUCUGAGAGGCAGUGCAGUGCAGCACAGUGGUUUAGCACACUGCUUCUGGAAUGAGAUGUUCUUGGUUUGAAUCUCAGCACACCAGUUACUAGCUAUAUGAACUUGGGUAAAUUACUUAUGUUCUCAGUGACUAGUCUCAUCUACAAAAUAGGAAUAUUCCUGAUGAUUGGUUCCUCAGUGAAAUGGUUAGCUUCCCACAUUAUUACCUUGCAGUGAGUUCUGCCAACUGAAAAGCCCUUUUCAACCCUAUGGAGCUUUUCAUCAGAUCUUUAGUGACCCAUUUUAAACGUGAGUAGACUUCAAAAAAUUACAAGUUACAUCAUCACAGAGAUGAGAAGAUAUUGCAUCUAAGAAAAUAAAAAUGAAUGUAAAAAGAAAGAGUGGGGAUCAAAUGAGAAUAAGACAGAGCUCUUGAAAAUUAAAAUUAAUAGUCCAAAAAAAACCUUAAAAAAUAACACAUUUGAUAGAUGAGGAGAAUGCUCAGAAAGUAAAACAAAAAGAUAAACAGAUUGGAAAUAGGAAAGAAAGAUAAGAAAAUUGGAGGAUCCAUCAAGGAUAUCCAGCAUCCAAAAAGUUAAACGUCCCAAAAAGAGAAAAAUGGAGAAAACAAGGGGAAGAAAAUAUUCAAGGAAAAAUACAAAAAUAAAAUUCCCACAACUGAAGCCAUGAGCUUACUUAUCGGAAUCUACCACAUGCUAAACACAGCAAAUGACAAAAAGAUCCACAUCGAGGCAAAUUAUUAGGAAAUUUCAGAAUACCAUAGAUCAAGAAAAAAUAUCAAAAGCUUCCAGAAAAGAAAAACGAAAAGCAAAUAAAAACAAAAACAUAUAUAAAAGAUCAGGGUACAGGAUGGCGUUGGAUUCCUCAACAGUGGCUCAGGAGGCUGACUGAGGCUGUAGAAUUCUAUACCCAGCCAAACUAUUAAUUGAGUGUGAGCUUCUCAGCAGCAACACUGAAAACUACAAGCAAAGAAGCAGUAUCUUUAAAAUUCUGAAGAAAAGUGACUUGUGAAAUAGAAUUUAUGCCCAGCCAAAUAGCAACCCACAAGAGCGCUAAAGAAUUUUUUAAAUGACAGUCCCCCCACAUUUUCCUUGCAUUCUCCUUGUCUCAGGAUGCUGCUGGAGGGACUGUUCUGCUAAAAUGAGGCGGUCAACCAAGAAAGAGGAAGACAUAGAAUCUGCAAAGCAGAUGACCUGGUGGAGGAAAAACUGAAGGGAUAUUAGGAUUGUGUGGAGAGAUGCUAGGUUUGCAGCAGGGCCCAGGCACAGAGCACCAUCUCUUCCUGUCAACAAGGCCCCACUGUACUGUCGCUGGUGCUGUGGAUCCCCUGAAAGCAGACUGACUCUCAUUCCAGCCCCAUCUGUCUUCCCCAGCUACCUCACCCACUGCAGCUCCAAGGCCAGUCUCCUUGCACACCCUCCACAGGGCACAUGGAGACUUCUGGAGUCCUCCAUGCAUCACAGGAAUUGAGGAAGACUCUGGCAUUCUGUCAUCUGCUGUGUUGGUUUAAAUGCCCCAGCCCAGUUGCCUCAUCUUUUAA
ensembl:lncRNA DRAIC downregulated RNA in cancer, inhibitor of cell invasion and migration